rnacentral:sRNA from 1 species
GCCAGAAAAAAGAGGCCAGGAAGAAAGAGGAAAGAGAAGAGAUCGCUCAGGGUCUGUGGUGUGUGGUCCAUCCUCUUGCUGAGCACAUUGAAAGGAACUGGCUAUCUUUGAUCUCUUCCUCCAGAUCAGAGUCAAGGAAUGUGUUUAUAAUGGACACUUCAUCCAAAGAAAAUAUCCAGUUGUUCUGCAAAACUUCAGUGCAACCUGUUGGAAGGCCUUCUUUUAAAACAGAAUAUCCCUCCUCAGAGGAAAAGCAACCAUGCUGUGGUGAACUAAAGGUAGAGCAACCAAGAAGUAAAUAGUGUUGAUGCUCUUAGUUUUCUGUCCAGAUAUCAUCUAUAUAAUGAAGUUAGAAUGAGAAUUGUUUUCUCCUUUUAAAAAAAAAAAAGAUCUUAGAUGCAAUUUACUAAAACCACACCUUGCCAGGCGGUGCAAGCAAUCUCUACCGGACCAUGUGGGUUAAAUUACUUUCCUGGGCUCAUUUAAAUGCCCCCCCCCAAACAGAAAAGAGAGAAAUAGUAGAAACUAGUAUUUAUUGAACUUCUGCCAUGUGCCAGAUAUUAAGCCAAGCACAGAUAUAACAUUUAAUCUGUGAAACAUCACAUUACUCCCAUUUUGCAAAUAAAAAUGGGAAUAAUGUUACAGAGUAGGGAGAAGAGUUGCUUUUUUUUUUUUUAGGAUUGUUGUAUCAAACAAUAGUUUUUAGUUUUUUGAGGAACCUCCAUACUAUUAUAUUUUCCAAAGAGACUACAUCAACUUAUGUAACCACUAACCAUGUACAAAGAUUCCCUUUUCUUUACAUUCUAACCAGUU